GCCAAAGACUGUAACACACUCUUGCCUGCUGAAAACGGAGAAAGCCCACACAAUUAAUACGAUACACCUCCAACGACGACCUUACCCUACAGGACUUCCAUCAGGUGACACCCGCUGUUUACACCCCCCUCCUGCCACCGACCUAGGCUAGACUAACGACCGGAGCAAACACACCACCUUAGCCCACACAACACAAAUGCGCUAGCACUUGAGGCACACAAUCACUCAGGGGUCCCCAGAACCUAGCCGGACACACCGACAAUCCCUUACUCAUAAGACCAGGCUAUGGGCCACCCUCUCUGACAGAGGACUUGACAGG